rnacentral:rRNA from 1 species
UACGGAGGAUGCAAGCGUUAUCCGGAUUUAUUGGGUUUAAAGGGUGCGCAGGCGGCGCGUUAAGUCAGCGGUGAAAUCUCCUAGCUCAACUAGGGAACUGCCGUUGAUACUGGCGUGCUGGAGUACGGACGGCGCCGGCGGAAUGUGCAGUGUAGCGGUGACAUGCUUAGAUAUUGCACAGAACACCGAUCGCGAAGGCAGCUGGCGAGGCCGUUACUGACGCUCAUGCACGAAAGCGUGGGGAG